UGAAGCAUAGUAAUGGAUAGCUGUACAAACAUUUCGGAAGAGUGAGAGUGAGUGAGAGAGAAAGAGAUCAGUUGCGGCCAUGCAUCAUUUUCGCUGUUUCUUGCCGCCUUGGGGUUCUCUUGCUUGAGUUGCAUUGCUUACUUUUCUUUUUCUUGCAUGGACACAGAUGACUCAGAUUACGACUUAGAUUACAGAUUUAAAAAAAAUAAAAAUGGAACCUUGUGCAAGGUUAUCCGAAGAAGAUGAUAUAAAGUUUCAACUGGAGAAAGAUAUUUUAAAUUUACCAGUUAAGCCAAGCUUUGCUCCAGAAGGAACCAGUAAUAUAAUAAUAGCCUUAAUGGUACACAUAUACAUUAAAAAACCUUUUCGGACGCUAAAAACUUCCCUGGAACUUUUGGCUGAACGAUGCAUACAAGCUGGAGAGUCACGAGAAUUUAGUUGACAAAUGUAUAUAAAGAAAAGGGUUGGCUCAAGUGAAGGUUCAGAUAAAAGCAACACAGAGGCGGAUAAAUAUUGUUGGUGUCUUAAGGCCUCUGCAAGACGAUGUGAACCUGCAGAAAACAGUUCAUGAGCGGUGUGCAUUGGGUCAUUAUCUUGCUGGAAAAUCCACUUUUUAUGACCACUUUACAAAUUUUGUCGUAUCCACUGUCAAGGAGAUCUACAGUGUCAUGGAAAGUUUCUUGUCCAGCACCCUCUUUUCAAUGACGACGACUGGCAUCAUUUAAAGCUUUUGAUCCAUCUGAUCCUGAGAUGGUUCCUCAAGAUUCUCCUGGAUAGGUUGAUCGCUGCAUCCAAUUCCUUCCUGGUAGCUCUUAUUCCGCACAAGACAGCGAGCGCGCGUUUUCAGAACGAACAAUUGACUCGACUCUCCACGUGCUCUCUUACUAUUGGUUGCGCGCUCCACGUUGGUGGCGCACUCUUCAAAGUCCCUCGGCGACUACAAUAUUGUAUUAUUUGACUCAGAGUGUGCAUCAUAUAUUGCUAUAAGUAAUCUAGAAAUUUUUUGAAUACUUGUUUUUCUCAUCUGGUGAUAAUCACGGCUAUCUAUUUGACACCUUUAUUUAGCAACAGUUAGAGAACCAAAUUUUUGAGUAAUCGUAACUUCUCUUUGUACUUAAAAAUAAAAUAUAACGAUCUAGAAAAAAAUAGAAACGUUCUGCUAGCACCGGUUAGAACAUAGGCUGUACGUUCUCAUGCCAUUGCCAAUGCUGAAUCUUUAGCAAUGUAAUAAAUAUGGAUGAAUCACAUUA